rnacentral:lncRNA from 1 species
AGUAAGAAAGCCAUCACCUUCAAUAUAUCCUUGGCUAUCUGCAAAAUCUGCAGUGUCCAAGAUGUAUUUCUCAAGAUUUGCCACCUCCCUCUACCUGCUAUCCUUUGCUUUCCUUCUCCAAACCAUCGUUGGAACUGACCCUCUCUUCCAUUUCUGUUCAAGCUCUGAGAAGUUCAUAGAUAAUGGCACAUAUGAGACCAACUUGAACAAGCUCAUGGGCUAUCUCUACUUAGCAGCUCCUCCCACAGGUUUUGGGAAAGGUUCAGUUGGUGAGAAAAAUGACAAAGUGAAUGGGCUUGCUCUCUGUCGAGGUGAUGUCUCAAACACAGACUGCAAAGCCUGUAUUACCGAGUCAAGCGGUGAAAUCCGCAAACGCUGCCCAGACAACAAAGCUGCAAUCAUAUGGUAUGAUUACUGCCUUUUGAAAUACUCAAACGUGAAUUUCUUUGGUCAAGUUGCUUAUCAGAACAGGUUCUAUAUGUGGAACUUGAAUAAUGUAAGUGAUCCUGCAUCAUUUAAUCAAAAGACAAAGGAGCUGCUAAGCAACCUGGCCCAGAAAGCUUUUAUCAACUCGAAAAUGUAUGCCACUGGAGAACUAGAGCUGGAAGAAUCCGAAAAACUAUACGGAUUGACUCAAUGCACCAGGGAUCUUUCCAGCAGUGAUUGUAAGAAGUGUCUUGAUGAUGCAAUAAGUGAACUUCCAAACUGUUGUGAUGGCAAAGAAGGAGGGAGGGUUGUUGGGGGGAGUUGCAACAUAAGAUAUGAGAUUUACCCCUUUGUCAAUUCUUAGAGAACUUAUUCGGUUCUCUAGGGUUUGGGGAUCAGUAUAUUACAAUAUAUAAAUAAAGUGUUGUACACACUUCAAUUUCUCAUGUUUAGGGGAAUGGAGUAUUAUGUCACCCCAUUUUCAUCUGUUUGCUUGCAUUUUAUCUCUAAAUUAUGUUCUUGAAUAAAAUUUCCCUGUUGUUAAUCAGACUGUUUACACGUUGUAACGAGCUGCCAUGCCACCCCCUCUCCUUAGUAAUAAAGACACCCCCUCUCUUUAAUAAUAAGGGCAUUAAAUACUAAUUGCUAAUAUAUAUAUAAUGGAACCUAGAAACUUUUUUUCUUUAUCAAAUAUAGAAUCACAAUCAAAAUAUUUUUUUGUGAUCUCAUUUGAUAAGGAAAAAGGUUUCUGACAUCAUAUAUAUUAAUGAGUUUUUUUAUUUUUUGGUCCAAAACGGAUAAUAUUCACGUGAAAGGUAGUUGGUCGUUGCAAUACUUGUUGGAAUCAAAAGAACUAACUUGCCACCGAUUAUUUAUUUGUGUUGACAUGUUAAGAUUUUAUCAUUUUCGUACUAAGUACUAACCAAAGUUUAAUUUAGGCUUUACUCGUCAUUUUCAAUCUCGCAUGAAGCAUGGCUACAGCAGAGUCGCAGACAACUCUGUCUUUACAUCAUGCCUAUGUCAAGAAAAUUUUAGGUGAUAAAUGAGGGUUCGUACUAUACCAUCUAGCUCUUGUUCUCUCUCCAACUUGUUCCUGGGAGGAAUGGACUUAAUUAGAAGUUAGGUUACAAUAUUCCCUUGUGAGGGACCCGUACCUGUGGAAAACCACCUACUUUCAUGAGGGCCCAUCCUCAUAUAUACUUUGCAUAAAUGGACAAAUUAUAUGUGGAUCUGAGAUAAACAAAGGUAAUAUAUAUCCUGAAUUUGACUGGUUUCAUUAAUUGGUGUCCUGAACUUGAAGCUGCCCAUUAGUGAACGAAUGAGAAGUCAGCUUUUUCGCUCUUAAAUGGCUGGAUGGGAAGAUUUCGGCCUCCAUAUUUGACCCAGCACGGUACAUUUCCACAAGAAUUCGGUGAUGGUCCAGAAGGGAUGUUGAAGUUUGUUUACUUGUAACUGAUAAGACAUAACUGGAUGGCUCUGCCACUAGCGAAAAGUAAGCAAAUUCAACAUGAAUGCUUGGAAAAUGUUCAAGAAAAAAUCUCUAUUGAAAGGUAGAAGAGCUUCUCUUCUUGGAGAGAAGCACAAACGCAAGCUGAUCAAUUUCUAUUUUCAUCCAACAUGUACUUCUCACAAUCAAUCCCUCUCUGUUUUCUACUCCUCUCUCUUCUUCUCCAGGCUGCCAUCGGAGCUGAUCCUCUUUUCCAUUUCUGUUUUAUCCCAGAAAACUACACUGCCAAUGACCCUUUCAGUAGUAACUUGAAUGAGCUAACAACCCUCCUCUCCUCCAAAGUUCCCCCAACUGGAUUUGGACUUGCCUCAACUGGACAAGGCCAAGACAGUGUAAAUGACCUAGCUCUAUGCCGGGGCGAUGUCUCAAGCAGAGACUGUAAAACUUGUGUCACUGAGGCAACCAAAGAGUUGCACAACCGCUGUCCAUACAACAAAGGAGCGAUCAUUUGGUACGAUAAUUCUCUUUAAGUACUCAAAUGUGAAGUUCUUUGGAGAAAUCGACAACAAAAACAAGUUCUACAUGUAUAACGUACAAAGUGUUGAUGAUCCCACUUCAUUUAACGUGAAAAUAAAGGAGUUGUUGAGAAGCUUGUCCAAUAAAGCAUAUGGUAGUCCAGUGUUGUUUGCUACGGGUGAGCUUGUGCUGGAAGAGUCUAUGAAACUCUAUGGUUUGGCGCAAUGCACUAGGGAUCUUUCAAGCCUUGAUUGUAAGAAGAGCCUUGAUGAUGCAGUAAGUGAACUCCCAAGCUAUUGCGAUGGAAAACGAGGGGGAAGAGUUGUUGGUGGGAGUUGUAAUGUGAGAUAUGAGCUUUAUCCUUUUGUCAAUGCUUGGACAUGAUCAAUGAUUGUGAUCAUUCAGCAUUAUUAAUCUUUGACAAUGUUAACUUGGAAUAUUAAUUAAAAUUGUUUUCUAGAAACAUCUAGGUUAUUUUGUAUUUUGUUCGGUGGGUUUAAUUUCCAAAACAAAAAAUAUAAAAUAUCUAGAAGUGGGAGAAAAUUCAGGUAGGUGGUAUCCAGGGUACGGAUAUAUUCAUGCAUAAGCACCUAAUAUUACUGUGUCUAGUGCUAAAAUUUCAAAUUUUUUUUACUAAACAGAUUAAAAUAAUGAGAAUUAGAUAAGUUGAUUUCCUGGAUAUCAACCAUUGACCAGUCAGAGAAGCAAUGGUAUGACCAUUUCUUUGAAAAUUUUGGUCAUAAAUUCAUAUUUUAUCCUGGAUAGUAGAAUGGCACUUGUUCAUGCAUGUACUUCUGGUGAUGAACUAGUUUGAAACAUUCAUCAUAGCAUCUAUAUAUAUAUAAACUCUUGAAUCCUUCUUACAAAUUUUCCAUUUGAAUUUACCGAAUCAAUAUUCCUGAACUAAUGCCGGUUUAUGAUAGGCAUUUUAAUGGAUCAUAACGUAUGGAAGCUCCAUUUUCUAAAACUAUGAGCUAUAGAUGAAUUUGUUGAAUUGAAUAGUCUCUUCCCAGAAACUUCAUAUUAUGGGACUAAUUUCCUGAACCUAAAAGAGAUUCUUCCAAGAAUAAUACCUAAGCAUGAAAUAGUCCAACACUAACUCAUGAUAUAAUAUUCCUCCUGUGUUCCUGUACACCCAAUAUUGGGGAUGGUGUGGAAGUGCGCAACCGACUUAGCCAUUUCAAAGACUUUGACCAUUUGCAAGCCAUUUCAAAGACUUUGACCAUUUGCAAAAUUCCAAAAUGAAGGAAAAGUCAGCUUGAUAAUCUUCUUCAAAGCAAUAAUGGUGGGGUUUUUGCUAUAUAAACGAUUCAUUGUCCCAGUAAGAAAGCCAUCACCUUCAAUAUAUCCUUAGCUAUCUGCAAAAUCUGCAGUGUCCAAGAUGUAUUUCUCAAGAUUUGCCACCUCCCUCUACCUGCUAUCCUUUGCUUUCCUUCUCCAAACCAUCGCUGGAACUGACCCUCUGUACCAUUUCUGUUCAAGCUCUCAGAAGUUCAUAGAUAAUGGCACAUAUGAGACCAACUUGAACAAGCUCAUGGGCUAUCUCUACUUAGCAGCUCCUCC